rnacentral:rRNA from 1 species
CGACUCCGCGUGGAGGAUGAAGGCCUUCGGGUUGUAAACUCCUUUUCUCAGGGAAAAUGGUGAUGGUACCCUGAGGAAUAAGCCACGGCUAACUCUGUGCCAGCAGCCGCGGUAAGACAGAGGUGGCGAGCGUUGUUCGUGAAUUACUGGGGUCUUAAAGGGCGUAGUAGGCGGUAAGGUCAAGUCCGAGGUGGAAUCCUAUGGUCUUAACCAUAGAACGGCCUCGGAAACUGCUUUUCUUGAGUCAGUGAGGGGAGGGCGGAAUUCCUGGUGUAGCGGUGAAAUGCGUAGAUAUCAGGAGGAAGGCCUGUGGCGAAGGCGGCCCUCUGGCACUGUACUGACGCUGAGGCGCGAAAGCGUGGGGAGCAAACAGGAUUAGAUACCCUGGUAGUCCACGCCCUAAACGGGUGGGCAUUAGGUGUAGGGCUCGUAAGGGUUCUGUGCCGAAGGAAACCUAUUAAAUGCCCCGCUGGGGAGUACGG